rnacentral:rRNA from 1 species
CCUACGCGAGGCAGCAGUGGGGGAUAUUGCACAAUGGGGGGAACCCUGAUGCAGCGACGCCGCGUGGGUGAAGACGCGCCUCGGCGCGUAAAGCCCUUUCAGCAGGGAAGAAAAUGACGGUACCUGAAGAAGAAGCCCCGGCUAACUACGUGCCAGCAGCCGCGGUAAUACGUCGGGCGCACGCGUUAUCCGGAUUUACUGGGUGUAAAGGGGGCGCAGACGGGGAUGCAAGCCAGGAGGGCAAGCCCGGGGGCCAACCCCGGUACUGCUCUUGGAACUGCGUGGCUGGAGUGCAGGAGGGGCAGGCGGAAUGCCUGGUGGAGCGGUGAAAUGCGUAGAUAUCAGGAGGAACACCGGUGGCGAAGGCGGCAUGCUGGACUGCAACUGACGUUGAGGCCCGAAAGCGUGGGGAGCAAACAGGAUUAGAUACCCUAGUAGUC